AAAAGAAGCAGCUGGAUGGGUGGAGAUGAUUUAAUAUGCCCUUCUCCAUUUGACACCUGUUCAUCCCUGUCACUGACUUUACAUUGUCUUUUUCUAAUUUUUUUUUUUCUCUUUUCAUUUUCCUUUCCAAUGUUAAUUUUUAUUUUCUGCUCCACUCCCUUUCUAAACGCCCAGAUAUGAUUAAAUAUAUGAUUAUUAAAUAUAGUAAUGAAAGAAAAGAAUCAAGAAAGUCUUCAGUGAUCACACUAGAGGUGUUAAUUUUUAAAUGGUAAGCAAAACCCUCAAUAUCUUGUUUCUAGAUUCUCUUUAAUGAUCUUUCCAUGGCUUUCAGAAUUUAGAAAGGCAGGCAAUUUUUUGUUCUGAAGGACAUGAAGAUAGAAAGGAGAGGGAAAAGGAAUGCUUUCUUACAGUUGACAAAAGUAUCAGGCAUGGAAAAUCUUCUUCUAAAUCCUGCUCUUCACAUUCCAAAAUCGUUCUUGAUGAGAG
rnacentral:misc_RNA from 1 species